ensembl:snoRNA
UCUGGCGAUGAUGACACACUUGCCCUCACUGAGAAUAUAGUUUGGUGAUGAGAACCUUUCUAUAUGUACUCAAAAACUGAGCCAGA